GACGAACGCUGGCGGCGUGCCUAAUACAUGCAAGUAGAACGCACAGUUUAUACCGUAGCUUGCUACACCAUAAACUGUGAGUUGCGAACGGGUGAGUAACGCGUAGGUAACCUGCCUGGUAGCGGGGGAUAACUAUUGGAAACGAUAGCUAAUACCGCAUAAUAUUGAUUAUUGCAUGAUAAUUGAUUGAAAGAUGCUAUUGCAUCACUACCAGAUGGACCUGCGUUGGAUUAGCUAGUAGGUGAGGUAACGGCUCACCUAGGCGACGAUACAUAGCCGACCUGGGAGGGUGAUCGGCCACACUGGGACUGAGACACGGCCCAGACUCCUACGGGAGGCAGCAGUAGGGAAUCUUCGGCAAUGGACGAAAGUCUGACCGAGCAACGCCGCGUGAGUGAAGAAGGUUCUCGGAUCGUAAAGCUCUGUUGUAAGAGAAGAACGGGUGUGAGAGUGGAAAGUUCACACUGUGACGGUAUCUUAACAGAAAGGGACGGCUAACUACGUG
rnacentral:rRNA from 1 species